GUGCGUAGGUGGCCAAUUAAGUCAAAUGUGAAAUCCCCGAGCUUAACUUGGGAAUUGCAUUCGAUACUGGUUGGCUAGAGUAUGGGAGAGGAUGGUAGAAUUCCAGGUGUAGCGGUGAAAUGCGUAGAGAUCUGGAGGAAUACCGAUGGCGAAGGCAGCCAUCUGGCCUAAUACUGACACUGAGGUACGAAAGCAUGGGGAGCAAACAGGAUUAGAUACCCUGGUAGUCCAUGCCGUAAACGAUGUCUACUAGCCGUUGGGGUCUUUGAGACUUUAGUGGCGCAGCUAACGCGAUAAGUAGACCGCCUGGGGAGUACGGUCGCAAGACUAAAACUCAAAUGAAUUGACGGGGGCCCGCACAAGCGGUGGAGCAUGUGGUUUAAUUCGAUGCAACGCGAAGAACCUUACCUGGUCUUGACAUAGUAAGAACUUUCCAGAGAUGGAUUGGUGCCUUCGGGAGCUUACAUACAGGUGCUGCAUGGCUGUCGUCAGCUCGUGUCGUGAGAUGUUGGGUUAAGUCCCGCAACGAGCGCAACCCUUUUCCUUAUUUGCCAGCGGGUUAAGCCGGGAACUUUAAGGAUACUGCCAGUGACAAACUGGAGGAAGGCGGGGACGACGUCAAGUCAUCAUGGCCCUUACGACCAGGGCUACACACGUGCUACAAUGGUCGGUACAAAGGGUUGCUACCUAGCGAUAGGAUGCUAAUCUCAAAAAGCCGAUCGUAGUCCGGAUUGGAGUCUGCAACUCGACUCCAUGAAGUCGGAAUCGCUAGUA
rnacentral:rRNA from 1 species